UACGUAGGGGGCAAGCGUUGUCCGGAAUUAUUGGGCGUAAAGAGCGCGUAGGCGGUCCGAUAAGUCGGCUGUGAAAGUCCAGGGCUCAACCCUGGAAAGCCGGCCGAUACUGUCGGACUAGAGUCCGGAAGAGGCAAGUGGAAUUCCCGGUGUAGCGGUGAAAUGCGCAGAUAUCGGGAGGAACACCAAUUGCGAAGGCAGCUUGCUGGGACGGUACUGACGCUGAGGCGCGAAAGCGUGGGGAGCAACAGG
rnacentral:rRNA from 1 species